GACGUAGGGCGCGAGCGUUGUCCGGAUUUAUUGGGCGUAAAGAGCUCGUAGGCGGCUUGUUGCGUCGGCUGUGAAAACCCAUGGCUCAACCGUGGGCUUGCAGCCGAUACGGGCAGGCUAGAGUUCGGUAGGGGAGACUGGAAUUCCUGGUGUAGCGGUGAAAUGCGCAGAUAUCAGGAGGAACACCGGUGGCGAAGGCGAGUCUCUGGACAUUUCCUGACGCUGAGGCACGAAAGCCAGGGGAGCAAGCACGGG
rnacentral:rRNA from 1 species